rnacentral:rRNA from 1 species
UACGUAGGGUGCAAGCGUUGUCCGGAAUUAUUGGGCGUAAAGAGCUCGUAGGCGGUUUGUCGCGUCUGCUGUGAAAACCCGAGGCUCAACCUCGGGCCUGCAGUGGGUACGGGCAGACUAGAGUGCGGUAGGGGAGAUUGGAAUUCCUGGUGUAGCGGUGGAAUGCGCAGAUAUCAGGAGGAACACCGAUGGCGAAGGCAGGUCUCUGGGCUGUAACUGACGCUGAGGAGCGAAAAGCAUGGGGAGCGAACAGG